rnacentral:lncRNA from 1 species
UUUCCCAUUGCUCAUCUCCUGUAUUUCAGAUAUCAUUCUAGAAUAUAUCUUCAAAACAAAGGUUAAUUGACAUAUCACAAUUUGUCAACUUAUCAAGUUAAACAAUUUCAGCUUAGGUAAGUCACACACUAGCGAAGUAUAUUACUCGUCUCUCCCCUCCUAGUUCUAGACUCAUAUCUCCGCCAGUGACCAUAUCCCUAAGCUCUUCUACAAAAUGUGACGCCCCCAAAAUAGGUAUACAUCACCCAUCUUGAGUCGCUAAAAAAAUAAACUACU